GGAAAGGUGAAAAGAACCCCGAACAGGGGAGUGAAAUAGAACCUGAAACCAUACGCUUACAACCGGUCGGAGCAGUUUCGUGCUGUGACGGCGUGCCUAUUGAAUAAUGAGCCUACGAGUUACUAAUCACUGGCGAGGUUAAGUGCACGGAUGCACGGAGCCGAAGCGAAAGCGAGUCUGAACAGGGCGGCUAGUCAGUGGUUGUAGACGCGAAACCUUGCGAUCUACCCUUGAGCAGGUUGAAGGUUGGGUAAAACCAACUGGAGGACCGAACGAAUAAGCGUUGAAAAGCUUCUCGAUGACUUGAGGGUAGGGGUGAAAGGCUAAUCAAGCUGGGAAAUAGCUCGUACUCCCCGAAAUGCCUUUAGGGGCAGCGUUGUAAUAAAGAGUCUACUGGAGGUAGAGCUACUGAUUGGAUGCGGGGGCUUCACCGCCUACCAAAUCCUGACAAACUCCGAAUGCCAGUAGUAUGAUUUACAGCAGUGAGCGACCGGGUGCUAAUGUCCGGUUACGAGAGUGGAACAACACAGACCAGCAACUAAGGUCCCGAAGAGUAUACUAAGUUGAUCUAACGAUGUUUUGCUGCAGAGACAGCUAGGAUGUUAGCUUGGAAGCAGCUAUUCAUUCAAAGAGUGCGUAACAGCUCACUAGUCGAGCGACAGAGCGUGGAUAAUAAACGGGCAUCAAGCAUAUCACCGAAGUUCUGGGCGCGAGAGCGCGGUAGGGGAGCAUUCCAUUCAGCGUCGAAGCAGUUUCGUGAGGAAUUGUGGAGCGUAUGGAAAAGCAAAUGUAGGCAUGAGUAACGAUAAUGCGGGAGAGUAACCCGCACACCGCAAGACCAAGGUUUCCUGAUCAACGCUAAUCGGAUCAGGGUUAGUCGGGUCCUAAGGGUAAGCCGAACGGCGAUCUCGAUGGAUAAUCGGUUAAUAUUCCGAUACUAACAUAUACCUCGAUGGAGAGACGAAGGAACGUAAGUGCCGCCACCUGACGGAAUAGGUGGUUAAAGGGCGUAGGUAUAGGGGCAGAUUAAGAGUUAGUCCUUGCUGAAACCUGACAGUACAGAGAGCCUACGGGCAAUUUGAUAGAGCACCCAAGUCGACUUCCGAGAAAAUCUUCUAAGUUAUAGUAUAUGUUACCCGUACCGUAAACCGACACAGGUGGUCGAGGAGAGUAUCCUAAGGUGCUCGAGUGAAUCACGGUUAAGGAACUAGGCAAAUUAACCCCGUAACUUCGGGAAAAGGGGUCCCUAUGAAAGUAGGGCGCAGCGAAGAGGUCCAGGCGACUGUUUAUCAAAAACACAGGGCUCUGCAAAUUCGAAAGAAGAAGUAUAGGGCCUGACACCUGCCCGGUGCUGGAAGGUUAAGAGGGGAUGUCAGCGCAAGCGAAGCAUUGAAUCGAAGCCCCAGUAAACGGCGGCCGUAACUAUAACGGUCCUAAGGUAGCGAAAUUCCUUGUCGGGUAAGUUCCGACCUGCACGAAUGGUGUAACGAUCUGGACACUGUCUCAACCGUGAGCUCGGUGAAAUUGUAGUCCCGGUGAAGAUGCCGGGUACCCGCAACGGGACGAAAAGACCCCGUGAACCUUUACU
rnacentral:rRNA from 1 species